UAACAAAGUAUUAACUUCAGAAUUGAAUUCCUAUUAAUAAACAUGGAAUAACCUCGGAAUAACAAUACUAUCCUUAUACUAGGUUUAAUCCUUUUAUUAUGGUAACCCAGAAAUUUUAAAAGUAAAAAGACGGAGAAGGAGGUGUGAAAUCGUAUAAAACCUAUGAAAUCACUGCUUUAUUGACAGAUGUAUGUUAGCUUGACAUCUUGACAAGUUGCUGUCGCUGUCAGUUUUGUCGAAAAAUUAUUAAUUUGUUUACUUACAUAAUUAAUAUGCAAUUCAAUUUAUAAAUAACGAAAAACGAGCGAAAAGCACAGCCGCGCUAUUAACUAGCGCAAAGAACAAAAGGUAAAUACUCCCGAUGCCUGUUAAUUAUGGCGUAUCUUAACAAAGAAAAAAUGUCUUCAUAUUGUUUAUAUAUUUUUAGAUUUCAGCCAUAAAAUUAUAACGCCUCGGUUCCAAAAUAAUAUUUUCAAAUCAUUGAAAAUAAAUCGUUAAGCACAAACACCAACACAAUCAAGAUAAAAGAGUGGGAGGAAAUAUAAAUAUACCCUAUACAAGGUUUAACGAGUUGAAUAGCAGACGUGAGUUAAAUCAGCUGAAAAUUCAGUAGAAAGCCAUGAAGAUCAAUGCUC